GACGAACGCUGGCGGCGUGCUUAACACAUGCAAGUCGAACGGACUUUUUCCAGCUUGCUGGAAUACUUUAGUGGCGAACGGGUGAGUAACACGUGGGUAAUCUGCCCUUCACUCUGGGAUAACCCUGGGAAACUGGGUCUAAUACUGGAUAUGAUCUUUCUCCUUAUGGGGUUUGGUUGAAAGUUUUUCUUUGUCUGAUGAGUCCGCGGACUAUCAGCUUGUUGGUGGGGUUAUGGCCUACCAAGGCGACGACGGGUAGCCGUCCUGAGAGGGUGAUCGGCCAAAAUGGGAAUGAGAGACGGCACAGAGUCCGACGGGAGGAAGCAGUGGGGAAUAUUGGAGAAAGGGCGGAAGCGUGAUGCAGCGACGCCGCGUGAGGGAUGACGGCCUUAGGGUAGUAAACCUCUUGCAGCAGGAACGAAGCGUAAGUGACGGUACCAGCAGAAGAAGCACCGGCUAACUACGU
rnacentral:rRNA from 1 species